UUCCGGUUGAUCCUGCCGGACCCGACUGCUAUUUGGGUGAGGAUAAGCCAUGCGAGUCGAAUGGAAUACCUAAAUUUUCCAUGGCGAACUGCUCAGUAACACAUGAUCAACUUACCCUAUAGAGAAAAAUAACCUCGGGAAACUGAGGAUAAUGUUUCAUAGUUGAAAAGGCUUGGAAAAGUUUUUCAAUAAAAGGGAUAAAAUAAAUGGUUUUUAUCUGCUAUAGGAUAGGAUCGUGGUCGAUUAUGGUUGUUGGUGAGGUAACGGCUCACCAAGCCGAUAAUCGAUAGGGGCCGUGAGAGCGGGAGCCCCGAGAUGGGUACUUAGACAGCGACCCAGGCCUUACGAGGCGCAGCAGGCGCGAGACCUCCGCAAUACACGAAAGUGUGACGGGGUUACCCAAAGUGUUCAAAUUGAACUGUGGUAGGUGAGUAAUGUUCCCUACUAGAAAGGAGAGGGCAAGGCUGGUGCCAGCCGCCGCGGUAAAACCAGCUCUUCAAGUGGUCGGGAUAAUUAUUGGGCUUAAAGUGUCCGUAGCCGGUAUGGUAAGUUCCUGGUAAAAUCAGGUAGCUUAACUAUCUGUAUGCUAGGAAUACUGCUAUACUAGAGGGCGGGAGAGGUCUGAGGUACUACAGGGGUAGGGGUGAAAUCUUAUAAUCCUUGUAGGACCACCAGUGGCGAAGGCGUCAGACUGGAACGCGCCUGACGGUGGGGGACGAAAGCCAGGGGAGCGAACCGGAUUAGAUACCCGGGUAGUCCUGGCCGUAAACGAUGCAUACUAGGUGAUGGUACGGCCAUGAGCCGUAUCAGUGCCGUAGGGAAACCGUUAAGUGUGCCGCCUGGGAAGUACGGUCGCAAGGCUAAAACUUAAAGGAAUUGGCGGGGGAGCA
rnacentral:rRNA from 1 species